AUUGAACGCUGGCGGCAGGCCUAACACAUGCAAGUCGAGCGGAGCGGCGGACGGGUGAGUAAUGCCUAGGAAUCUGCCUGGUAGUGGGGGAUAACGUCCGGAAACGGGCGCUAAUACCGCAUCCUCUCAGAUGCGCCUAGGUCGGAUUAGCUAGUUGGUGGGGUAACGGCCUACCAAGGCGACGCUCCGUAACUGGUCUGAGAGGCUGAUCAGUCACACUGGAACUGAGACACGGUCAAGACUCCGACGGGAGGCAGCAGUGGGGAAUAUGGGACAAUGGGCGAAAGCCUGAUCCAGCCAUGCCGCGUGUGGGAAGAAGGUCUUCGGAUUGUAAAGCACUUUAAGUUGGGAGGCGUUACCAACAGAAUAAGCACCGGCUAACUUCGUGCCAGCAGCCGCGGUAAUUC
rnacentral:rRNA from 1 species